rnacentral:rRNA from 1 species
UGGGGAAUAUUGGACAAUGGGCGCAAGCCUGAUCCAGCCAUGCCGCGUGUGUGAAGAAGGCCUUCGGGUUGUAAAGCUUUUUACCCGUGAUGAUAAUGACAGUAGCGGGAGAAUAAGCCCCGGCUAACUCCGUGCCAGCAGCCGCGGUAAUACGGAGGGGGCUAGCGUUGUUCGGAAUUACUGGGCGUAAAGCGCACGUAGGCGGCUUUGUAAGUUAGAGGUGAAAGCCUGGAGCUCAACUCCAGAACUGCCUUUAAGACUGCAUCGCUUGAAUCCAGGAGAGGUGAGUGGAAUUCCGAGUGUAGAGGUGAAAUUCGUAGAUAUUCGGAAGAACACCAGUGGCGAAGGCGGCUCACUGGACUGGUAUUGACGCUGAGGUGCGAAAGCGUGGGGAGCAAACAGGAUUAGAUACCCCGGGUCCCUGAGCGGGCUGGCAAGGCGCAU